rnacentral:rRNA from 1 species
UUUUAUGGAGAGUUUGAUCCUGGCUCAGGAUGAACGCUGGCGGCGUGCCUAAUACAUGCAAGUCGAGCGAACGGACGAGAAGCUUGCUUCUCUGAUGUUAGCGGCGGACGGGUGAGUAACACGUGGAUAACCUACCUAUAAGACUGGGAUAACUUCGGGAAACCGGAGCUAAUACCGGAUAAUAUUUUGAACCGCAUGGUUCAAAAGUGAAAGACGGUCUUGCUGUCACUUAUAGAUGGAUCCGCGCUGCAUUAGCUAGUUGGUAAGGUAACGGCUUACCAAGGCAACGAUGCAUAGCCGACCUGAGAGGGUGAUCGGCCACACUGGAACUGAGACACGGUCCAGACUCCUACGGGAGGCAGCAGUAGGGAAUCUUCCGCAAUGGGCGAAAGCCUGACGGAGCAACGCCGCGUGAGUGAUGAAGGUCUUCGGAUCGUAAAACUCUGUUAUUAGGGAAGAACAUAUGUGUAAGUAACUGUGCACAUCUUGACGGUACCUAAUCAGAAAGCCACGGCUAACUACGUGCCAGCAGCCGCGGUAAUACGUAGGUGGCAAGCGUUAUCCGGAAUUAUUGGGCGUAAAGCGCGCGUAGGCGGUUUUUUAAGUCUGAUGUGAAAGCCCACGGCUCAACCGUGGAGGGUCAUUGGAAACUGGAAAACUUGAGUGCAGAAGAGGAAAGUGGAAUUCCAUGUGUAGCGGUGAAAUGCGCAGAGAUAUGGAGGAACACCAGUGGCGAAGGCGACUUUCUGGUCUGUAACUGACGCUGAUGUGCGAAAGCGUGGGGAUCAAACAGGAUUAGAUACCCUGGUAGUCCACGCCGUAAACGAUGAGUGCUAAGUGUUAGGGGGUUUCCGCCCCUUAGUGCUGCAGCUAACGCAUUAAGCACUCCGCCUGGGGAGUACGACCGCAAGGUUGAAACUCAAAGGAAUUGACGGGGACCCGCACAAGCGGUGGAGCAUGUGGUUUAAUUCGAAGCAACGCGAAGAACCUUACCAAAUCUUGACAUCCUUUGACAACUCUAGAGAUAGAGCCUUCCCCUUCGGGGGGCAAAGUGACAGGUGGUGCAUGGUUGUCGUCAGCUCGUGUCGUGAGAUGUUGGGUUAAGUCCCGCAACGAGCGCAACCCUUAAGCUUAGUUGCCAUCAUUAAGUUGGGCACUCUAAGUUGACUGCCGGUGACAAACCGGAGGAAGGUGGGGAUGACGUCAAAUCAUCAUGCCCCUUAUGAUUUGGGCUACACACGUGCUACAAUGGACAAUACAAAGGGCAGCGAAACCGCGAGGUCAAGCAAAUCCCAUAAAGUUGUUCUCAGUUCGGAUUGUAGUCUGCAACUCGACUACAUGAAGCUGGAAUCGCUAGUAAUCGUAGAUCAGCAUGCUACGGUGAAUACGUUCCCGGGUCUUGUACACACCGCCCGUCACACCACGAGAGUUUGUAACACCCGAAGCCGGUGGAGUAACCUUUUAGGAGCUAGCCGUCGAAGGUGGGACAAAUGAUUGGGGUGAAGUCGUAACAAGGUAGCCGUAUCGGAAGGUGCGGCUGGAUCACCUCCUUUCUAA